rnacentral:rRNA from 1 species
UUCGCCCUUAGAGUUUGAUCCUGGCUCAGGACGAACGCUGGCGGCGUGCCUAACACAUGCAAGUCGAGCGAGGCUGUUAGAGUGGAAUUUUUCGGAAUGAAACUCUAACUGCCCUAGCGGCGGACGGGUGAGUAACGCGUGAGAAACCUGCCUUUCACAAAGGGAUAGCCUCGGGAAACUGGGAUUAAUACCUUAUGAUACUCUUUUCCAGCAUUGGAGAAAAGUUAAAGCGUAAAGCGGUGAAAGAUGGUCUCGCGUCCCAUUAGUUAGUUGGUGAGGUAACGGCUCACCAAGACUGCGAUGGGUAGCCGGCCUGAGAGGGUGAACGGCCACACUGGAACUGAGACACGGUCCAGACUCCUACGGGAGGCAGCAGUGGGGAAUAUUGCACAAUGGAGGAAACUCUGAUGCAGCGACGCCGCGUGAACGAUGAAGGCUUUCGGGUCGUAAAGUUCUGUCCUAGGGGACGAUAAUGACGGUGCCCUAGGAGGAAGCCCCGGCUAACUACGUGCCAGCAGCCGCGGUAAUACGUAGGGGGCGAGCGUUGUCCGGAUUUAUUGGGCGUAAAGGGUUCGCAGGCGGCCUUUUAAGUCAGAUGUGAAAGAUCACGGCUCAACCGUGGUAAGCAUUUGAAACUGGAAGGCUUGAGUUAAGGAGAGGAAAGUGGAAUUCCUAGUGUAGCGGUGAAAUGCGUAGAUAUUAGGAGGAAUACCAGUGGCGAAGGCGACUUUCUGGACUUAUACUGACGCUGAGGAACGAAAGCGUGGGGAGCAAACAGGAUUAGAUACCCUGGUAGUCCACGCCGUAAACGAUGAGUGCUAGGUGUCGGGUGUCAAAGCUCGGUGCCGCAGCUAACGCAUUAAGCACUCCGCCUGGGGAGUACGUACGCAAGUAUGAAACUCAAAGGAAUUGACGGGGACCCGCACAAGCAGCGGAGCAUGUGGUUUAAUUCGAAGCAACGCGAAGAACCUUACCUAGACUUGACAUCUCCUGCAUUACUCUUAAUCGAGGAAGUCCCUUCGGGGACAGGAUGACAGGUGGUGCAUGGUUGUCGUCAGCUCGUGUCGUGAGAUGUUGGGUUAAGUCCCGCAACGAGCGCAACCCUUAUUGUUAGUUGCCAUCAUUAAGUUGGGCACUCUAGCGAGACUGCCCGGGUUAACCGGGAGGAAGGUGGGGAUGACGUCAAAUCAUCAUGCCCCUUAUGUCUAGGGCUACACACGUGCUACAAUGGUCGGUACAAUAAGACGCAAGCCCGCGAGGGGGAGCAAAACUGGAAAACCGAUCUCAGUUCGGAUUGUAGGCUGAAACUCGCCUACAUGAAGCUGGAGUUGCUAGUAAUCGCGAAUCAGCAUGUCGCGGUGAAUACGUUCCCGGGCCUUGUACACACCGCCCGUCA